AGCGAACGCUGGCGGUAUGCUUAACACAUGCAAGUCGAGCGCGAAAGUGACUUCGGUCAUAAGUAGAGCGGCGGACGGGUGAGUAACACGUGGAUAAUCUGCCUUUAGGACUGGGAUAACCCUGGGAAACUAGGGCUAAUACCGGAUAAGACCACAGGUUCCAUGGAACCAGGGGUAAAAGGCGGCCUUCGGGCUGUCGCCGAAAGAUGAGUCCGCGUCCCAUCAGGUAGUUGGUGAGGUAACGGCUCACCAAGCCGAAGACGGGUAGCCGACCUUAGCGGGUGAUCGGCCACACGGGGACUGAGACACGGCCCCGACUCCUACGGGAGGG
rnacentral:rRNA from 1 species